rnacentral:rRNA from 1 species
UGGGGAAUAUUGCACAAUGGGCGCAAGCCUGAUGCAGCCAUGCCGCGUGUAUGAAGAAGGCCUUCGGGUUGUAAAGUACUUUCAGCGGGGAGGAAGGUGUUGUGGUUAAUAACCACAGCAAUUGACGUUACCCGCAGAAGAAGCACCGGCUAACUCCGUGCCAGCAGCCGCGGUAAUACGGAGGGUGCAAGCGUUAAUCGGAAUUACUGGGCGUAAAGCGCACGCAGGCGGUCGGUCAAGUCGGAUGUGAAAUCCCCGGGCUCAACCUGGGAACUGCAUCCGAAACUGGCAGGCUUGAGUCUUGUAGAGGGGGGUAGAAUUCCAGGUGUAGGGGUGAAAUGCGUAGAGAUCUGGAGGAAUACCGGUGGCGAAGGCGGCCCCCUGGACAAAGACUGACGCUCAGGUGCGAAAGCGUGGGGAGCAAACA